UUCAAAACAUUUGCAUUCCACAUUUUCCAAAUUGAGUUUUUGAAUAUAAUCUCAUUAUGGGGUGCCUUAAAGCUAGUGGAAUCGCAAUUACCAUAAUCAGUGUUCUCUUCACGCAUUUUCUUUUUAUCGUAUACGGCAUUGAGGGGACAUUUCUUUGGAAUCUGAAAAACAAUUUUUUUAAUUCAUCUAUGGUUCUUCUGGGUAACGGCUCUAAUUUAAUUUUUAACAUGUUUGCCUUGACACGCAUAAUCAAAAACGAUCCUCUCGGAGUCAAACUAUGGAUCGCUUAUUCAAUAGCUCUUGCUUCGCUUCUUAUCUUGGCUAUUUUUUAUAAAAUACUUUCAGGAAUAACAUAUGAAAUUUGUUUCGUUUUUAUAAUUUACCUCUUUAUUUCAACUAUUAUAAUGGGUUUUCUUCAAAGGAAUCUUCAAAGAAAACAGAAUGUGACAUUUGAGACUCAAAUCGAUGACUCUUAAAGCUAAUGAAAAUAAUGAUAUCAUCUUUACAAUUACAACUUAUUUUCAACAUUUCAAUAAAAGC